rnacentral:rRNA from 1 species
AACGAACGCUGGCGGCAGGCCUAACACAUGCAAGUCGAGCGAGUCCUUCGGGGUUAGUGGCGGACGGGUGCGUAACGCGUGGGAACGUGCCCUUAGGUACGGAAUAACUUCGGGAAAGGGGUGCUAAUACCGGAUAAGGUCUCCGGACCAAAGAUUUAUCGGCGUAGGAUGGGCCCGCGUUGGAUUAGCUAGUUGGUAGGGUAAAGGCCUACCAAGGCGACGAUCCAUAGCUGGUCUGAGAGGAUGAUCAGCCACACUGGGACUGAGACACGGCCCAGACUCCUACGGGAGGCAGCAGUGGGGAAUAUUGGACAAUGGGGGCAAGCCUGAUCCAGCCAUGCCGCGUGAGUGAUGAAGGCCUUAGGGUUGUAAAGCUCUUUUAGCUGGGAAGAUAAUGACGGUACCAGCAGAAGAAGCCCCGGCUAACUCCGUG